rnacentral:rRNA from 1 species
UACGGAGGGGGCUAGCGUUGUUCGGAAUUACUGGGCGUAAAGCGCACGUAGGCGGCUUUGUAAGUUAGAGGUGAAAGCCCGGGGCUCAACCCCGGAAUAGCCUUUAAGACUGCAUCGCUUGGACACGGGAGAGGUGAGUGGAAUUCCGAGUGUAGAGGUGAAAUUCGUAGAUAUUCGGAAGAACACCAGUGGCGAAGGCGGCUCACUGGACCGUUGUUGACGCUGAGGUGCGAAAGCGUGGGGAGCAAACAGG